CGUCGACGUUAAUGGAAAUAAGAAUUCGUCGGAGGAAAAAAAAUCAUGUUUCGGGGAAUUAAUUUCGCCGUUCUAGCGGUGUACGCUGUUAUUGUUGCGUCGGCCUGUUUCGUCGCGCCCAUCCUCGCGAGAGAUAAGCCGAGCACCGACGUUGUCAUACGAUUUGGAUAACGCUGUGACAAUUGCCGAGGAAGUGGACGACGCAACGGAUGAAAUGAAACAUGUCUUAUGUGAAUGAAGUGUACCUGGAAUUUGUUAAUAAAUCUUAAACUAUGGAUUUAUUCGUCGAAA